CAGGCACUUGGGGGCUACUGACGUUGUUAUGACUAACCACGUACUCGGCUUGAGUAUACCCGGUAUAGCCCAGCAGGGGGCACGCAAGGAAGCCUACUUCGACUCCAGGAGUCUACAUGCCAAAUCUUGCGACUCAAGACAAGGAAGGUUAAUUAGAGUAUAUCUCCUCAUUGUAACCGACUUGAACUCUACCUGAGACCUGAGUUCCUGCAUAUAUAAAGGACCAGGAGGGGGAGCCAAGAGGACACCCCCAACUUUAGAUAGAAGUCGCCUAGAUGCACUCGAUGGCUCGGUGCCUCUAGACUUUGCGGCACCCCAUUGUAAUCGACUCACCAAUACAGAUCCGACAAGUAGGACGUAGGGGUAUUACCUCAUCGAGGGUCCUGAACCUGGGUAAAUCGUGUCCCCUGUCUCCUUGUUACCCGACGAGUUCGCCAACACACACUCAAAAUUUUUCCUUGAUACAAGUCCUUGAUACAUUGUCGAAGUCACAUCUUUGUCAACCAGCGAAAAAGCCCACGACAUAGGGUGGGCCGCCAGCAAAUCAUAAGAUAGGCCAUCGGUAAAGGAUGGCCCACGGCAACGAAACCCUGCACGUGGGCCCGCGUGCGAGGUUAACGGCGGGCAAAACGGACGGCGGGAAAGGAAAAAAAGCUAUCUUUGCCGGCGGCCACCAAAACAUGCCGCCGGCAAAGUGAUCCUUUUUUCCCGCACGUGCCGUUCAAAUUUAGACGUGCGCAUACAAAUUAAAAACAAAAAAGAAAUUACUCUUUGCCGGCAGCCACAAGAACAGGCCACCGUUAAAACUCAAAGUAUUUUUUUCCGCAUCCCCUUGUCCGAAUUUAACCAACGAAAAAAAAUUACUCUUUGCCGGCGGCUACGCGGAAAGACCGCCGGCAAAUCCCCCGUCCGAAUUGAACCAAACGAAAAAAAAAAUUGCUCUAACUUUUGCCUCCGUUCCCCAUGGCGCCCCCCACCACCAGGAAGGGAAAAGAGGGGAAGGCCUCGAAGAAAGCGGCGGCUAGCAAAAGCGAGGCGGCCACCAAGGUCGCCGUCGACAAGGAUUAGCAAAAGCGGGCAAUGAGGGCCACGCUCGCCUUCUACCGGCCCGGCUACAACGGCGAGGCGCUGGCCAAGAUCCAGCACG
rnacentral:lncRNA from 1 species